AUUCCCAUUUCUUUCAUUUUUUUUCUUUUUCCUCAAACAACUUAUGUAAUUCAAAAUUCAAAUUCAUUAUCACCAAACCAAAUUCCAAAACCAUGAUAAAAAGAGAGAGAAGAGACGAGACGACCCAUGUUUCAUCUUUUCAAAAACCCCUUUCCCAACGCGUUUUCUUCAUAUCUUCGUUUUUCUUCGUUGUUUUUGACGAUUUCCUUUACAUAUUCAUGUUGAUCUCUCUUUGAUCUACGUUUUGUGUAUGGAUUUGAUGUGUAUUGAUGAAACUUUCGUCAACGAUCGUUGCGGUGAUCAGAGGUUAAGAUCUAGAUUUGUUGUUUCAGAAGGAUGAGAUCUUAACCAGGUUUGGCGAUAUUCCGCUUUGGCUGUUAAUCUCUCAAACUUGAUUUUGAAUCUUUGAAUCAACCAGAUAUCCUUAAUUGCGAUUGAAGCAAACAGGUAAGUUUGUUAUCGACCUGUAAUUUUCUACAUGCAUCUUUCUUUCAUGAUUUGUGUUUAAUCUUGAUAUCUCACCCUCCUAUUUUCAUCGUUUAGGUUUUUAAACAAUGAAUAUUCAAGAAAUUGGUUUUCCAUUUACUUAUUCUUAAAUCUAUAAUCGUUAAUUUUGGAGUACAAAACCCUUUAUAUAUUAUAUAAGGUUUAAUUUCGUCGGGCGGGGUGAUUUAAUGAAGGUUAUAUGACGCGAAGGGAUUGGAGGAUUAUACUUCCGUGGUUGGAUGCUUAUAUCAGGUUAUACAAAGUGAAUGGGUUAGAUGAUUAUACAAUGUCCUUAAUUCAUCUCUGCUUGGAACUGCUGCAUCACAGGUAACAAACAUAUGCUUUCUAUUAUUGCCUCUAAUAAACGUUGGACUGCACUUUUUGUUGUGUUUAGGUUCAAUUGGACUGCAUUCUUUGUUGUUUUUAGGCUCAGUUGGGUGUCUUAUAGUCCAUCGCUCGAUUGCAUUUUUGAGUGCAAAAUUGAUAGUUCAACUUAUUUGGUCUGAAAUAUAGCUACUUGUGCGUGUGAUUUAGAUUUGUAAUUAGAGUGAUUAUUGCCGCUGGAAAUUAGGGGUCGGCGUUUAGUGUUUCCAACCCACCAGAACCUUGGACCCGACCCUCCAAAACCGCCAAACAAACUGUUUUAUUAAUAGUGAUUCGUUUCCGGGUCUAGGUUUGUUUGAAAUAUCACUUCCGGGUCGGUUUGGUUUCGACACACAUGUACUUAAAUGGAACCACGAGAACUGACUGAAAUUCAAAUUGAACAAAAAAACCUAUUUUUUUAAUUUGAUGCUUCUGUUAUUCUUCGUAUAUUUGAGUAUCACUUCCGGGUCAGUUUGGUUUCGACACACAUGUACUUAAAUGAGUUAUAUUUUCAAGCUGUUAUGAGCUAUAUUUUCAAAAUAAAGCAUGAUAACAUUGUGGUCCGCCUUUUGACCCAUAUAGUUUAUCAAUAGGUUUUUGCUUUGAUGAUCGUAGAAGCUGGGUUUCAAAAGGUCGAGUAUGAAAAUCUUGUGGGUGGAGUGGUCGCAACCUGUUUCGGGUUGAAAUUCUAAACUUUCAACGUGUAAGGUACACAAAAGUUCAUAAACGGAGUGUGGGAUGAUACCAACCACCUAAUGCAUAUUGUAUUUUUUUGUGUACACAAAAGUUCAUAAUAACAUAUCUUUAAUCUUAUUUAA